AUUGAACGCUGGCGGCAGGCUUAACACAUGCAAGUCGAACGGUAGCAGGAAGAAGCUUGCUUCUUUGCUGACGAGUGGCGGACGGGUGAGUAAUGCUUGGGAAUCUAGCUUAUGGAGGGGGAUAACUACGGGAAACUGUAGCUAAUACCGCGUAAUAUCGAAAGAUUAAAGUGUGGGACCUUCGGGCCACAUGCCAUAGGAUGAGCCCAAGUGGGAUUAGGUAGUUGGUGAGGUAAAGGCUCACCAAGCCGACGAUCUCUAGCUGGUCUGAGAGGAUGACCAGCCACACUGGGACUGAGACACGGCCCAGACUCCUACGGGAGGCAGCAGUGGGGAAUAUUGCGCAAUGGGGGCAACCCUGACGCAGCCAUCCGCGUGAAUGAAGAAGGCCUUCGGGUUGUAAAGUUCUUUCGGUAGGGAGGAAGGCAUUUAGUUUUAUUGGCUAGA
rnacentral:rRNA from 1 species